GGGCCCGCACAAGCGGCGGAGCAUGCGGAUUAAUUCGAUGCAACGCGAAGAACCUUACCUGGGUUUGACAUGGCCGCAAAACUCGCAGAGAUGCGGGGUCCUUCGGGGGCGGUCACAGGUGGUGCAUGGCUGUCGUCAGCUCGUGUCGUGAGAUGUUGGGUUAAGUCCCGCAACGAGCGCAACCCUUGUUCGAUGUUGCCAGCGGUUCGGCCGGGGACUCAUCGAAGACUGCCGGGGUCAACUCGGAGGAAGGUGGGGAUGAGGUCAAGUCAUCAUGCCCCUUAUGUCCAGGGCUUCACGCAUGCUACAAUGGCCGGUACAAAGGGCUGCGAUACCGUGAGGUGGAGCGAAUCCCAAAAAGCCGGUCUCAGUUCGGAUCGGGGUCUGCAACUCGACCCCGUGAAGUCGGAGUCGCUAGUAAUCGCAGAUCAGCAACGCUGCGGUGAAUACGUUCCCGGGCCUU
rnacentral:rRNA from 1 species